CAUGUCACUUCCUGAUUGGCUGCUGGCUCCUGUUCUGCAAGCCUGCGUGGUCAUUAGGAAGCUGUGUGUUUGAUCCUUUCCCUUCAGUGUGAACGAAAAGCAUCUGGCUUUGAGCCCCCUCUGUGGACUGUGCAAACAGAAAAUGAAGAUUUUAAGUAACGCAAACUCCGCAAUGAGGUAAGAUGAUGAACAUUCUCUCCAAAAUGAGACAGCAUUCCCUCUGCCUGGAAAUCAAAUGGUGGAACAGAGCGAGAUUUCUAAAAAAAGGCAUACCUGACCCUCAGGGUGGAGAGAGAAGCUUCCUUCCGUUCUGGGGAGGCAUUAUGCUUUGCAGCAAGUUGCUACUACAUGCAGUUCUAAAAGCAUCCAAGACCCAUUAGGAGCCGUCCUGUCUGCUGCCUCACAAAAGGAGGAAAAGGAGAAGGGGAAUGCUUUGCCCAAAGUGAAAGAAGGCGAAAGCAGGAAAGAGUUAUAGAGUCAUAGAACUUUAAAAGUUGGAAGGGACCGCGGAGGUCAUCUAGUUCAACACAGGAAUCUCGCAGCUAGGUGAGUGUUCUAUUAAAGCCGGGGCUGCCACGAAGAAGGCCCUGCACCCAUCCUGCCCUAUUUGUUUAUUUAGAACAUUGCUUGGCUGAUCAAUCAGCAACGCCCUCUGCAUUGUUCACACGGAACUGAAGUGACAUACAAAUCAGCAUGACAAAUAUUAAUAUAUUCUACACGUUUUUUAAAAAAUCAAAUCCAUUUCCUGCCUGAAAACCAACAGAACAGCAUUUAAAACCUAGCAGAAAUAAACAGUGCCAAGGGCAAAAAUGUGUUAUUCUGAAAGGCCUGGGAAAGUAAGAAGGGCUUCACAUGCUGCUGAAGGAAUCUGAAUAGAAGCACCAGGCGAGCCCCUUUUGGGGAGGCUGCUGCAUAAUCGGGGUGCCACCACCAAGAAGGGCCUUCCCCUUAUUAACCACCUACCUCACUUUUUUAGGUGGAAGAGCCUGGAGGACCUCUGAUGAAGAUCUCAAGGUCCAGCCAGGCACAUCAUACAGCCUCCGUAGAACAGACUUCAGGGUAUUUUAUUUAUUUAUUUUUAUUUAUUAAAAUUUUAUACCGCCCGACUAGCAGAAGCUCUCUGGGCGGUGAACAACAAAAAUACUAAGAUACACAAUAUAAUACAAUAAAAGCAUAUAACAAUAAAA